rnacentral:rRNA from 1 species
AUUGAACGCUGGCGGCAGGCCUAACACAUGCAAGUCGAGCGGAAACGAGUUAUCUGAACCUUCGGGGAACGAUAACGGCGUCGAGCGGCGGACGGGUGAGUAAUGCCUAGGAAAUUGCCCUGAUGUGGGGGAUAACCGAUUGGAAACGAUGGCUAAUACCGCAUAAUGCCUACGGGCCAAAGAGGGGGACCUUCGGGCCUCUCGCGUCAGGAUAUGCCUAGGUGGAUUAGGCUAGUUGGUGAGGUAAUGGCUCACCAAGGCGACCGAUCCCUAGCUGGUCUGAGAGGAUGGAUCAGCCACACUGGAACUGAGACACGGUCCAGACUUCCACGGGAGGCAGCAGUGGGGAAUAUUGCACAAUGGGCGCAAGCCUGAUGCAGCCAUGCCGCGUGUGUGAGAAGGCCUUCGGGUUGUUAAAGCGACUUUUCAGUAGGGAGGAAGGGUUCAUGGUUAAUAGCGUAUGGAUUUGAGUUACCUACAGAAG